GAUCAAGCUACUAAGGGCGUAGGGUGGAUGCCUUGGCGAAAGACGGCGAUGAAGGACGUGGUUAGCUGCGAUAAGCUUCGGGGAGUUGCUAAACAAACUUUGAUCCGGAGAUUUCCGAAUGGGACAACCCGGCUACACGUAAGUGUGGUCAUCUCGAGUAAUCGAGAAGCAAACGAAGGGAAUUGAAACAUCUUAGUACCUUCAGGAAAAUAAAGAAACCUCGAUUCCGAAAGUAGUGGCGAGCGAAAUCGGAACAGCCUAAACGAAAUGGACGUGAUAGCUUGCAGGCGUUUUCCAUUUCGAGUUGCGAGACGUGGCAGCUUCUUACUGCAAUGAGAAGGAAGAGUUACAAAUCAAUUUUAUAGAUGAACGGUAUGGAAAGGCCGGCCAUAGAAGGUGAUAGCCCUUUAAUCGAAAUAAAAUUGACUCUUUGUGCUGUGUUCUCAAGUACCACGGGGCACGUGAAACCCUGUGGGAACCUGGAAGGACCAUCUUCCAAGGCUAAAUACGUGCUUUCGACCGAUAGUGAACUAGUACCGUGAGGGAAAGGUGAAAAGAACCCGGGAACGGGAGUGAAAAGAAUCUGAAACCCUAUGUCUACAGUCAAUGGAAGCACUAUGCCCGUAAGGGAAUGUGCGACCGUGUGCCUUUUGCAUAAUGAGCCAGCGAGUUAUUGUAUGUAGCAAGGUUAAGCCGAAUCAGGUGAAGCCGAAGCGAAAGCGAGUCUGAAUAGGGCGAUUUAGUUGCAUAUAAUAGACCCGAAACCUAGUGAUCUACCCUUGGUCAGGAUGAAGUGCCGGUAACACGGCAUGGAGGUCCGAACUCGUAACCGUUGAAAAGGUUUGGGAUGAACUGAGGGUAGGGGUGAAAGGCUAAUCAAACUGGGAGAUAGCUGGUUCUCCCCGAAAUAUAUUGAGGUAUAGCCUCGUAUUAUAAGUGACGGAGGUAGAGCACUCGAUGGGCUAGGGGAGUGAAAACUUUACCAAACCCAACGAAACUCCGAAUGCCGUCAUCUUCUAUUACGGGAGUCAGACAGUGGGGGAUAAACUUCAUUGUCGAAAGGGAAAGAGCCCAGACCGCCAGCUAAGGCCCCCAAAUCGAUACUAAGUGGGAAAGGAUGUGGAAACGCACAGACAGCCAGGAGGUUGGCUUAGAAGCAGCCAUCCUUUAAAGAAAGCGUAACAGCUCACUGGUCAAGUGAGUCCGCGCCGAAAAUGUAACGGGGCUAAAGUAUCGUGCCGAAGCUGCGGAUGUACCAAAAUUUGCGAAUUUUAGUACGUGGUAGGGGAGUAUUCCAACGCCGGUGAAGGUAUAUCGUAAGAAAUACUGGAGGUUUUGGAAGAGCUUCUGCUGGCAUAAGUAGCGAAAAUGCUGAUGAGAAAUCAGCACGCCGUAAGCCUAAGGUUUCCUGGGGAAGGUUAAUCCGCCCAGGGUUAGUCGGCACCUAAGUCGAGGCCCAAAGGCGUAGACGAUGGAAGACAGGUUAAUAUUCCUGUAUUAUUCUUGUUGUGUUUGAUGCCGAGGAGUGACGGAGAAGGGUAGAUCAGUCUCGUGUUGGAAUACGAGAUUUAAGCUUGUAGGAUGAUUGAGCAGGCAAAUCCACUCGAUUAUAUCUGAGAAGCGAAUACGAAGUCCCGGUAACGGGACGCAAAGUGAUUGAUCCCAUGCUUCCAAGAAAAACUUCGCGGCUAAUGGCAAGAGUAGCCGUACCGCAAACGGACACACGUAGGCGAGGAGAAGAUCCUAAGGCGCUUGAGAUAACUCUGGCUAAGGAACUCUGCAAAUUCACACCGUAACUUCGGAAGAAGGUGUGCCUCACUUUGUGAAAGGGUUUACCCCUCGAGCAUUGUGUGGUCGCAGUGAAUCGGGAGCAGCGACUGUUUAACAAAAACACAGGACUCUGCAAAGUCGUGAAGACGACGUAUAGGGUCUGACGCCUGCCCGGUGCCGGAAGGUUAAGGGGAGUUGUUAGGUCUUCGGACCAAAGCUCCGAACCGAAGCCCCGGUAAACGGCGGCCGUAACUAUAACGGUCCUAAGGUAGCGAAAUUCCUUGUCGGGUAAGUUCCGACCUGCACGAAUGGCGUAACGACUGCUCCGCUGUCUUGGCCGGCGACUCAGCGAAAUUGUAUUGGAGGCGCAGAUGCCUUCGACCCGCGGAAAGACGGAAAGACCCUGUGCACCUUUACUAUAACUUGGCAGUGAACUUCGGGCCAGUCUGUGUAGGAUAGGUGGGAGACUUUGAAGCCGGUGCGCUAGCAUCGGUGGAGUCAACCUUGAAAUACCACCCUGAUUAUUCUGGAGUUCUAACUUGAGUGAGUGAAUCCUCACUAAGGACACUGUCUGGUGGGUAGUUUGACUGGGGCGGUCGCCUCCCAAAAAGUAACGGAGGCGUGCGAAGGUUCCCUCAGGCUGAUUAGAAACCAGCCGUCGAGUGCAAAAGCAGAAGGGAGCUUGACUGCGAGACUUACAAGUCGAGCAGGUGCGAAAGCAGGCUUUAGUGAUCCGGUGGUUCUGUAUGGAAGGGCCAUCGCUCAUCGGACAAAAGGUACGCCGGGGAUAACAGGCUGAUGAUUUCCAAGAGUUCACAUCGACGAAAUCGUUUGGCACCUCGAUGUCGGCUCAUCGCAUCCUGGGGCUGGAGUAGGUCCCAAGGGUUUGGCUGUUCGCCAAUUAAAGCGGUACGCGAGCUGGGUUCAGAACGUCGUGAGACAGUUCGGUCCCUAUCUUCCGUGGGCGCAGGAAAUUUGAGAGGAUCUAACCUUAGUACGAGAGGACCGGGUUGGACGGACCUCUAGUGUUCCGGUUGUCACGCCAGUGGCAUAAGCCGGGUAGCUACGUCCGGAUCAGAUAAGCGCUGAAAGCAUAUAAGUGCGAAACUGACCUCAAGAUAAGAUUUCCCAAUCCCAUAAGGGGUAUGAAGACCACUCGAAGACUACGAGGUUGAUAGGCCAGGUGUGUAAGCAUCGUAAGGUGUUUAGCUGACUGGUACUAAUUGGUCGUUCGGCUUGAUCUU
rnacentral:rRNA from 1 species